rnacentral:rRNA from 1 species
CUGGUUGAUCCUGCCAGACCCCACUGCUAUCGGGAUAGGACUAAGACAUGCUAGUCAAGCGCUCACCAGCCAAAGGUGAGUGCAGCGCACAGCUCAGUAACACGUGGCUAACCUGCCCUUGGGAUAGGGACAACCCCGGGAAACUGGGGCUAAUCCCCAAUAGGCGAAGAGCUCUGGAAUGAGCCUUCACCCGAAAGGAUACUUGCACUAUGCUUGCAGGCUUCGCCCAAGGAUGGGGCCGCGACCGAUCGGGUUGUUGGUGAGGCAACGGCUCACCAAGCCUAUAACCGGUGCGGGCCGUGGGAGCGGGAGCCCGGAGAUGGGCACUGAGACAAGGGCCCAGGCCCUACGGGGCGCAGCAGUCGCGCAAACUUUGCAAUACACGCAAGUGUGACAGGGCUAUCCCGAGUGCCGUCCGCUGAGGAUGGCUUUUACCCAGUCUAGAAAGCUGGGGGAAUAAGGAGAGGGCAAGUCUGGUGUCAGCCGCCGCGGUAAUACCAGCUCUCCGAGUGGUGUGGAUGUUUAUUGGGCCUAAAGCAUCCGUAGCUGGCCAAGCCAGUCCCUUGUUAAACCCACCGAAUUAAUCGUUGGAUUGCGGGGGAUACUGCUCGGCUAGGGGACGAGAGAGGCAGACGGUAUUCUCGGGGUAGGGGUGAAAUCCUAUAAUCCCGAGAAGACCACCAGUGGCGAAGGCUGUCUGCUAGAACGCGCCCGACGGUGAGGGAUGAAAGCUGGGGGAGCGAACCGGAUUAGAUACCCGGGUAGUCCCAGCUGUAAACGAUGCAGGCUAGGUGUUUGGGCGGCCACGUGCCGCUCUAGUGCCGCAGGGAAGCUGUUAAGCCUGCCGCCUGGGGAGUACGGUCGCAAGAUUGAAACUUAAAGGAAUUGGCGGGGGAGCACCACAAGGGGUGAAGCUUGCGGUUUAAUUGGAUUCAACGCCG